ACUCAAAUGAAUAGACGGGGGCCCGCACAAGCAGUGGAGUAUGUGGUUUAAUUCGAAGCAACGCGAAGAACCUUACCAGGUCUUGACAUCCAGCGAAUCUUCAAGAGAUUGAGGAGUGCCUUCGGGAGCGCUGAGACAGGUGGUGCAUGGUUGUCGUCAGCUCGUGUCGUGAGAUGUUGGGUUAAGUCCCGCAACGAGCGCAACCCUUGCCAUUAGUUGCUACGCAAGAGCACUCUAAUGGGACCGCUACCGACAAGGUGGAGGAAGGUGGGGACGACGUCAAAUCAUCAUGCCCCUUAUGACCUGGGCUACACACGUACUACAAUGGCCGCAAACAACGGGAAGCGAAGGCGCGAGUCGGAGCAAAACCCAAAAAGCGGUCUCAGUUCGGAUCGCAGGCUGCAACCCGCCUGCGUGAAGUCGGAAUUGCUAGUAAUCGCGGAUCAGCAUGCCGCGGUGAAUACGUUCCCGGGCCUUGUACACACCGCCCGU
rnacentral:rRNA from 1 species